rnacentral:rRNA from 1 species
GACGAACGCUGGCGGCGUGCCUAACACAUGCAAGUCGAACGGAGUAUUCAGCAAUGGAUACUUAGUGGCGAACGGGUGAGUAACGCGUAGACAACCUACCUUCUAGCUGGGGACAACACUGCGAAAGUGGUGCUAAUACCGAAUGUUGUAUUUGUGGUGCAUACUAUAGAUACUAAAGGCGGCCUCUAUUUAUAAGCUGUCACUAGAAGAUGGGUCUGCGUCUGAUUAGCUAGUUGGUGAGGUAAUGGCUCACCAAGGCGACGAUCAGUAGCCGGUAUGAGAGGAUGAACGGCCACACUGGGACUGAGACACGGCCCAGACUCCUACGGGAGGCAGCAGUGGGGAAUCUUCCGCAAUGGACGCAAGUCUGACGGAGCAACGCCGCGUGAGUGAAGAAGGUUUUCGGAUCGUAAAACUCUGUUUUCAGGGACGAACGUGCUUUGUGUAAAUAAUGCAAAGUAAUGACGGUACCUGAGUAGAAAGCCACGGCUAACUACGUGCCAGCAGCAGCCGCGGUAA